ACUCCUACGGGAGGCAGCAGUGGGGAAUAUUGCACAAUGGGCGCAAGCCUGAUGCAGCCAUGCCGCGUGUAUGAAGAAGGCCUUCGGGUUGUAAAGUACUUUCAGCAGUGAGGAAGGUGGGUAUGUUAAUAGCAUACUCAUUUGACGUUAGCUGCAGAAGAAGCACCGGCUAACUCCGUGCCAGCAGCCGCGGUAAUACGGAGGAUCCAAGCGUUAUCCGGAAUCAUUGGGUUUAAAGGGUCCGUAGGUGGAUGAUUAAGUCAGAGGUGAAAUCCCUGCAGCUCAACUGUAGAAUUGCCUUUGAUACUGGUUGUCUUGAAUUAUUGUGAAGUAGUUAGAAUAUGUGGUGUAGCGGUGAAAUGCAUAGAUAUCACAUAGAAUACCGAUUGCGAAGGCAGAUUACUAACAAUACAUUGACACUGAUGGACGAAAGCGUGGGGAGCAAACAGGAUUAGAUACCCUGGUAGCUACGAGU
rnacentral:rRNA from 1 species